UACGUAGGGUGCGAGCGUUGCCCGGAUUUAUUGGGCGUAAAGGGCGCGUAGGCGGUGAGAUGCGUCCGUUGUGAAAUCGCCCGGCUCAACUGGGCGGGGUCAGCGGAUACGGUCUCACUCGAGCAAGCUAGGGGGCAAUGGAAUUCCCGGUGUAGUGGUGGAAUGCGUAGAUAUCGGGAGGAACACCGGUGGCGAAGGCGGAUCUCUGGGCCUUACCUGACGCUCAGGUGCGAAAGCUAGGGGAGCGAACAGG
rnacentral:rRNA from 1 species